CCUACGGGCGGCAGCAGUGGGGGAUAUUGCACAAUGGAGGAAACUCUGAUGCAGCGACGCCGCGUGAGGGAAGACGGUCUUCGGAUUGUAAACCUCUGUCUUUGGGGAAGAAAAUGACGGUACCCAAAGUGGAAGCUCCGGCUAACUACGUGCCAGCAGCCGCGGUAAUAUGCAGGGAGCGAGCGUUGUCCGGAAUUACUGGGUGUAAAGGGAGCGUAGGCGGGGGAUAAAGUUGAAUGUAAAAUCUACCGGCUUAACUGGUAGCUGCGUUCAAAACUUCUUGUCUUGAGUGUAGUAGAGGCAGGCGGAAUGCCUGGUGUAGCGGUGAAAUGCGUAGAUAUUAGGAGGAACACCAGUUGCGAAGGCGGCCUGCUAGGCUUUAACUGACGCUGAGGCUCGAAAGCGUGGGGAGCAAACAGGAUUAGAUACCCCUGUAGUC
rnacentral:rRNA from 1 species